GAUGAACGCUGGCGGCGUGCCUAAUACAUGCAAGUCGAGCGAACGGACGAGAAGCUUGCUUCUCUGAUGUUAGCGGCGGACGGGUGAGUAACACGUGGAUAACCUACCUAUAAGACUGGGAUAACUUCGGGAAACCGGAGCUAAUACCGGAUAAUAUUUUGAACCGCAUGGUUCAAAAGUGAAAGACGGUCUUGCUGUCACUUAUAGAUGGAUCCGCGCUGCAUUAGCUAGUUGGUAAGGUAACGGCUUACCAAGGCAACGAUGCAUAGCCGACCUGAGAGGGUGAUCGGCCACACUGGAACUGAGACACGGUCCAGACUCCUACGGGAGGCAGCAGUAGGGAAUCUUCCGCAAUGGGCGAAAGCCUGACGGAGCAACGCCGCGUGAGUGAUGAAGGUCUUCGGAUCGUAAAACUCUGUUAUUAGGGAAGAACAUAUGUGUAAGUAACUGUGCACAUCUUGACGGUACCUAAUCAGAAAGCCACGGCUAACUACGUGCCAGCAGCCGCGGUAAUACGUAGGUGGCAAGCGUUAUCCGGAAUUAUUGGGCGUAAAGCGCGCGUAGGCGGUUUUUUAAGUCUGAUGUGAAAGCCCACGGCUCAACCGUGGAGGGUCAUUGGAAACUGGAAAACUUGAGUGCAGAAGAGGAAAGUGGAAUUCCAUGUGUAGCGGUGAAAUGCGCAGAGAUAUGGAGGAACACCAGUGGCGAAGGCGACUUUCUGGUCUGUAACUGACGCUGAUGUGCGAAAGCGUGGGGAUCAAACAGGAUUAGAUACCCUGGUAGUCCACGCCGUAAACGAUGAGUGCUAAGUGUUAGGGGGUUUCCGCCCCUUAGUGCUGCAGCUAACGCAUUAAGCACUCCGCCUGGGGAGUACGACCGCAAGGUUGAAACUCAAAGGAAUUUACGGGGACCCGCACAAGCGGUGGAGCAUGUGGUUUAAUUCGAAGCAACGCGAAGAACCUUACCAAAUCUUGACAUCCUUUGACAACUCUAGAGAUAGAGCCUUCCCCUUCGGGGGACAAAGUGACAGGUGGUGCAUGGUUGUCGUCAGCUCGUGUCGUGAGAUGUUGGGUUAAGUCCCGCAACGAGCGCAACCCUUAAGCUUAGUUGCCAUCAUUAAGUUGGGCACUCUAAGUUGACUGCCGGUGACAAACCGGAGGAAGGUGGGGAUGACGUCAAAUCAUCAUGCCCCUUAUGAUUUGGGCUACACACGUGCUACAAUGGACAAUACAAAGGGCAGCGAAACCGCGAGGUCAAGCAAAUCCCAUAAAGUUGUUCUCAGUUCGGAUUGUAGUCUGCAACUCGACUACAUGAAGCUGGAAUCGCUAGUAAUCGUAGAUCAGCAUGCUACGGUGAAUACGUUCCCGGGUCU
rnacentral:rRNA from 1 species